UACGAACAUAUCACGUUGAAACACCGGUUCUCCGAAGUUAAGCAACGUCGAGCCUUGUCAGUACCUAGAUGGGUGUCCUCUUGGGAAUACCAGGGUCUGUAA